GAUGAAGAACGCAGUGAAAUGCGAUAAGUAGUGUGAAUUGCAGAAUUCAGUGAAUCAUCGAAUCUUUGAACGCACAUUGCGCCCUUUGGUAUUCCAAAGGGCUUGCCUGUUCGAGCGUCAUUUGUACCCUCAAGCUUUGCUUGGUGUUGGGCGUCUUGUCUCUAGCUUUGCUGGAGACUCGCCUUAAAGUAAUUGGCAGCCGGCCUACUGGUUUCGGAGCGCAGCACAAGUCGCACUCUCUAUCAGCAAAGGUCUAGCAUCCAUUAAGCCUUUUUUUCAACUUUUGACCUCGGAUCAGGUAGGGAUACCCGCUGAACUUAAGCAUAUCAAUAAGCGGAGGA
rnacentral:misc_RNA from 1 species